rnacentral:SRP_RNA from 1 species
GCCAGGUGUGGUGGCGCAUGCCUGUAAUCCCAGCUACUCAGGAGGCUGAGGCAGGGGAAUUGCUUGAACCCCGGAGACAGAGGUUGCAGUGAGCCGAGAUGGCACCACUGAACUCCAGCCUGGGCAACAGAGUGAGACUCUGUCUCAA